rnacentral:rRNA from 1 species
ACUAACUAGGAUUCCCUUAGUAGCGGCGAGCGAACAGGGAAGAGCCCAGCACCGAAUCCCGCGCCCCUAGGACGCUGGGAAAUGUGGUGUUUGGGAGGGUCCGAUCAUCCUUCGGCCGUCCUGCGCGUCCAAGUCCUUCUUGAACGGGGCCACUUACCCGCAGAGGGUGCCAGGCCCGUAGUGACCGCCCGCGACCGAGGGAGGGCUUCUCCUCAGAGUCGGGUUGCUUGAGAGUGCAGCCCUAAGUGGGUGGUAAACUCCAUCUAAGGCUAAAUAUGACCACGAGACCGAUAGCGAACAAGUACCGUGAGGGAAAGUUGAAAAGAACUUUGAAGAGAGAGUUCAAGAGUACGUGAAACCGUUCAGGGGUAAACCUGAGAAACCCGAAAGGUCGAAGGGGGACAUUCAACCGCGCUCGGUCGGCGGCGUAAGGCAGUCGCGCGACGGUGAUCCCCACGGGGUGAUCCGCGCCGUCCGUCGACGUCGUCUCCGAACACGUGCACUUGUCCCCUUGUAGGACGUCGCGACCCGUUGGGUGCCGGUCUACGGCCCUCGGUGGAGCCCGCGCGGAGGUUUCGGCCUCCGUUCGGACCCGGGGUGUCCCGACCGGCCCGCCCGACGGUAUACCGAUGGCGCGGGGCCGCGGCUCGAACGCGUCCGACCCGUCGCAAGUGCGGACGGCCACCCGAAAGUCGGACUCCGGUCCGGCUCCGGGCCCGCCCGGCUGCUAGCGGCGGCGCUCUCGGACAGACUCCGUGCACGCCCGUCGGCGACGCUAUAGCUUUGGGUACUUUCAGGACCCGUCUUGAAACACGGACCAAGGAGUCUAGCAUGUGCGCGAGUCAUUGGGAAUAACUAAACCUAAAGGCGCAAUGAAAGUGAAGGCCCGCCUAGCGCGGGCCGAGGGAGGAUGGGCCGCGUCACGAUGCGGCCCCGCACUCCCGGGGCGUCUCGCUCUCAUCGCGAGAAGAGGCGCACCCAGAGCGUACACGCUGGGACCCGAAAGAUGGUGAACUAUGCCUGGUCAGGACGAAGUCAGGGGAAACCCUGAUGGAGGUCCGUAGCGAUUCUGACGUGCAAAUCGAUCGUCGGAACUGGGUAUAGGGGCGAAAGACUAAUCGAACCAUCUAGUAGCUGGUUCCCUCCGAAGUUUCCCUCAGGAUAGCUGGCGCUCGCUUUGCGAGUCUCAUCCGGUAAAGCGAAUGAUUAGAGGCAUUGGGGUCGAAACGGCCUCAACCUAUUCUCAAACUUUAAAUGGGUGAGAUCUCCGGCUUGCUCGAACUUGAAGCCGCGAGAUUUAAUCUUUAAAAGGAUCAGAG